rnacentral:rRNA from 1 species
UUACCGAGUUUACAACUCCCAAACCCAAUGUGAACGUUACCAAACUGUUGCCUCGGCGGGAUCUCUGCCCCGGGUGCGUCGCAGCCCCGGACCAAGGCGCCCGCCGGAGGACCAACCAAAACUCUUAUUGUAUACCCCCUCGCGGGUUUUUUUUAUAAUCUGAGCCUUCUCGGCGCCUCUCGUAGGCGUUUCGAAAAUGAAUCAAAACUUUCAACAACGGAUCUCUUGGUUCUGGCAUCGAUGAAGAACGCAGCGAAAUGCGAUAAGUAAUGUGAAUUGCAGAAUUCAGUGAAUCAUCGAAUCUUUGAACGCACAUUGCGCCCGCCAGUAUUCUGGCGGGCAUGCCUGUCCGAGCGUCAUUUCAACCCUCGAACCCCUCCGGGGGGUCGGCGUUGGGGAUCGGCCCUCCCUUAGCGGGUGGCCGUCUCCGAAAUACAGUGGCGGUCUCGCCGCAGCCUCUCCUGCGCAGUAGUUUGCACACUCGCAUCGGGAGCGCGGCGCGUCCACAGCCGUUAAACACCCAACUUCUGAAAUGU